rnacentral:rRNA from 1 species
AAAACUUUUCAGCUAGAGUAUGAUAGAGGAAAGCAGAAUUUCUAGUGUAGAGGUGAAAUUCGUAGAUAUUAGAAAGAAUACCCAAUUGCGAAGGCAGCUUUCUGGAUCAUUACUGACACUGAGGAACGAAAGCAUGGGUAGCGAAGAGGAUUAGAUACCCUCGUAGUCCAUGCCGUAAACGAUGUGUGUUAGACGUUGGAAAUUUAUUUUCAGUGUCGCAGGGAAACCGAUAAACACACCGCCUGGGGAGUACGACCGCAAGGUUAAAACUCAAAUGAAUUGACGGGGACCCGCACAAGUAGUGGAGCAUGUGGUUUAAUUCGAAGAUACGCGCAGAACCUUACCAACACUUGACAUGUUCGUCGCGACUCUAAGAGAUUAGAGUUUUCGGUUCGGCCGGACGAAACACAGGUGCUGCAUGGCUGUCGUCAGCUCGUGUCGUGAGAUGUUGGGUUAAGUCCCGCAACGAGCGCAACCCUCACUUUUAGUUGCCAUCAUUAAGUUGGGCACUCUGAAAGAACUGCCAGUGAUAAGCUGGAGGAAGGUGGGGAUGACGUCAAGUCCUCAUGGCCCUUACGUGUUGGGCUACACACGUGCUACAAUGGUAUCUACAACAGGAAGCAAAACUGCGAAGUUAAGCAAAUCCCUAAAAGAUACCUCAGUUCGGAUUGCACUCUGCAACUCGAGUGCAUGAAGCUGGAAUUACUAGUAAUCGUGGAUCAGCGUGCCACGGUGAAUGCGUUCCCGGGUCUUGUACACACCGCCCGUCACACCAUGGGAGUUGGUUCUACCUUAAGGCAAGGUUUCAAACCCUUGACCACGGUAUAGUCAGCGACUGGGGUGAAGUCGUAACAAGGUAGCCGUA